CCGAAAUUUAAAACUCACAACGCGAGUCUCGUGCGGAAGCAAAUAUGACUGCCGAGACUUUGUGACUCUUCAAGUCUUCCUUUGCUCAAGUCAAACCACACUCGUAAAGCACAUGUGACGAGUCUGUGGUGAGCAUCGGGAGCACCUGCGUUUCCUUCGGGAUUCACAGUCUAAAAAACGAAUUGUAAAAGUAUAUAUAUAAACAAAAAAAGACGAAAAAAAU
rnacentral:misc_RNA from 1 species